UACGUAGGGUGCAAGCGUUGUCCGGAAUUAUUGGGCGUAAAGAGCUCGUAGGCGGUUUUUCGCGUCUGCUGUGAAAACUCGGGGCUUAACCCCGGGCCUGCAGUGGGUACGGGCAGACUAGAGUGCGGUAGGGGAGACUGGAAUUCCUGGUGUAGCGGUGAAAUGCGCAGAUAUCAGGAGGAACACCGGUGGCGAAGGCGGGUCUCUGGGCCGUAACUGACGCUGAGGCACGAAAGUGUGGGGAUCAAACAGG
rnacentral:rRNA from 1 species